rnacentral:rRNA from 1 species
AUACGAAAGGUGCAAGCGUUGUUCGGAUUUACUGGGCGUAAAGAGAGUGUAGGUUGUUUAUUAAGUCGGAUGGGAAAUCCCGGGGCUCAACCUCGGAACUGCAUUCGAUACUGGUAGACUAGAGUUCGGGAGGGGUAAGCGGAAUUCCGUGUGUAGCAGUGAAAUGCGUAGAUAUACGGAGGAACACCUGAGGCGAAGGCGGCUUACUGGACCGAUACUGACACUGAGACUCGAAAGCGUGGGUAGCAAACAGGAUUAGAAACCCUAGUAGUCC